rnacentral:rRNA from 1 species
UACGUAGGUGGCGAGCGUUGUCCGGAUUUACUGGGCGUAAAGAGCGCGCAGGCGGUCGUGCAAGUCGCGUGUGAAAGCCCCCGGCUCAACUGGGGAGGGUCACGCGAUACUGCUCGACUUGAAGGCAGGAGAGGGAAGUGGAAUUCCCGGUGUAGUGGUGAAAUGCGUAGAUAUCUGGAGGAACACCGGUGGCGAAGGCGGCAUCCUGGACCGGUAUUGACGCUGAGGCGCGAAAGCUAGGGGAGCAAACGGG